rnacentral:rRNA from 1 species
AGUGAAAGAGGGAGGUAGGCAGAACACAUGCAAGUCGAACGGCAGCACAGUAAGAGCUUGCUCUUACGGGUGGCGAGUGGCGGACGGGUGAGGAAUACAUCGGAAUCUACUUUUUCGUGGGGGAUAACGUAGGGAAACUUACGCUAAUACCGCAUACGACCUACGGGUGAAAGCAGGGGAUCUUCGGACCUUGCGCGAUUGAAUGAGCCGAUGUCGGAUUAGCUAGUUGGCGGGGUAAAGGCCCACCAAGGCGACGAUCCGUAGCUGGUCUGAGAGGAUGAUCAGCCACACUGGAACUGAGACACGGUCCAGACUCCUACGGGAGGCAGCAGUGGGGAAUAUUGGACAAUGGGCGCAAGCCUGAUCCAGCCAUACCGCGUGGGUGAAGAAGGCCUUCGGGUUGUAAAGCCCUUUUGUUGGGAAAGAAAAGCAGCAGGUUAAUACCCCGCUGUUCUGACGGUACCCAAAGAAUAAGCACCGGCUAACUUCGUG